AUGGACAAGUUCAAAGGUCAAACACUGACUGAGUCUGAGUCAGUCGUCAUCAAACCAGGGAACAAUCAUAAACUGACCUGUACCUUCUCUGGGAUUGAUGUUGGAGCUGCAGAUAUUUCAUGGAUAAAACAGGCUGAAGGGAAAGCACUUGAGUGGAUCUCAUAUAUUUCUGCUCCAAGUGGCAGCGACAAAUAUUACUCUAAAACCGUUGAAGGACGAUUCACCAUCUCCAGAGACAACAACACCAAUUUGUUCCUACCGGCUUGUCUACAUCCGCCUCUGAAUAAGGAAGAUUGUCAGGACAUCUGCUUUUCCAGUAAAAUGCAGGUGUAUAAUCUGCAUAUGACAAAUCUGCAGGCUGAAGACACUGCCGUUUAUUAUUGUGCCCGAAAAACACAGUAA